GAUGAACGCUAGCGGCAGGCUUAACACAUGCAAGUCGAGGGGUAUUGGUUUUCGGACCAAGAGACCGGCGCACGGGUGCGUAACGCGUAUGCAAUCUACCUUUUGCAGAGGGAUAGCCCCAGAGAAAUUUGGAUUAAUACCUCAUAGUAUAGUACUUUGGCAUCAAGGAACUAUUAAAGUCACAACGGCAAAAGAUGAGCAUGCGUCCCAUUAGCUUGUUGGUAAGGUAACGGCUUACCAAGGCAACGAUGGGUAGGGGUCCUGAGAGGGAGAUCCCCCCACACUGGUACUGAGACACGGACCAGACUCCUACGGGAGGCAGCAGUGAGGAAUAUUGGACAAUGGGCGCAAGCCUGAUCCAGCCAUGCCGCGUGCAGGAUGACGGUCCUAUGGAUUGUAAACUGCUUUUAUACAGGAAGAAACACUACUUCGUGAAGUAGCUUGACGGUACUGUAAGAAUAAGGAUCGGCUAACUCCGUGCCAGCAG
rnacentral:rRNA from 1 species